UAAGAUCUUUCUCAAUAGACAAAUAUUUGAAAAAAAAUAAAAAUAAACACUGCAUAAAUCUCGAAUCUUUCUCAAAUUUAUUCAGGCACUUGAAUUCUAUUUGCUUUAGCUCCAAUGAUCAUUAAUAUUUGUACGACUGAUCUGUCAAGUUUGGCAACACUAUUUGGCUAAAA